rnacentral:rRNA from 1 species
AUGAACGCUAGCUACAGGCUUAACACAUGCAAGUCGAGGGGCAGCAUGGUCUUAGCUUGCUAAGGCCGAUGGCGACCGGCGCACAGGUGAGUAACACGUAUCCAACCUGCCGUCUACUCUUGGACAGCCUUCUGAAAGGAAGAUUAAUACAAGAUGGCAUCAUGAGUCCGCAUGUUCACAUGAUUAAAGGUAUUCCGGUAGACGAUGGGGAUGCGUUCCAUUAGAUAGUAGGCGGGGUAACGGCCCACCUAGUCUUCGAUGGAUAGGGGUUCUGAGAGGAAGGUCCCCCACAUUGGAACUGAGACACGGUCCAAACUCCUACGGGAGGCAGCAGUGAGGAAUAUUGGUCAAUGGGCGAGAGCCUGAACCAGCCAAGUAGCGUGAAGGAUGACUGCCCUAUGGGUUGUAAACUUCUUUUAUAAAGGAAUAAAGUCGGGUAUGGAUACCCGUUUGCAUGUACUUUAUGAAUAAGGAUCGGCUAACUCCGUGCCAGCAGCCGCGGUAAUACGGAGGAUUCGAGCGUUAUCCGGAUUUAUUGGGUUUAAAGGGAGCGUAGAUGGAUGUUUAAGUCAGUUGUGAAAGUUUGCGGCUCAACCGUAAAAUUGCAGUUGAUACUGGAUAUCUUGAGUGCAGUUGAGGCAGGCGGAAUUCGUGGUGUAGCGGUGAAAUGCUUAGAUAUCACGAAGAACUCCGAUUGCGAAGGCAGCCUGCUAAGCUGCAACUGACAUUGAGGCUCGAAAGUGUGGGUAUCAAACAGGAUUAGAUACCCUGGUAGUCCACACGGUAAACGAUGAAUACUCGCUGUUUGCGAUAUACUGCAAGCGGCCAAGCGAAAGCGUUAAGUAUUCCACCUGGGGAGUACGCCGGCAACGGUGAAACUCAAAGGAAUUGACGGGGGCCCGCACAAGCGGAGGAACAUGUGGUUUAAUUCGAUGAUACGCGAGGAACCUUACCCGGGCUUAAAUUGCAGAUGAAUUACGGUGAAAGCCGUAAGCCGCAAGGCAUCUGUGAAGGUGCUGCAUGGUUGUCGUCAGCUCGUGCCGUGAGGUGUCGGCUUAAGUGCCAUAACGAGCGCAACCCUUGUUGUCAGUUACUAACAGGUUCCGCUGAGGACUCUGACAAGACUGCCAUCGUAAGAUGUGAGGAAGGUGGGGAUGACGUCAAAUCAGCACGGCCCUUACGUCCGGGGCUACACACGUGUUACAAUGGGGGGUACAGAGGGCCGCUACCACGCGAGUGGAUGCCAAUCCCCAAAACCUCUCUCAGUUCGGACUGGAGUCUGCAACCCGACUCCACGAAGCUGGAUUCGCUAGUAAUCGCGCAUCAGCCACGGCGCGGUGAAUACGUUCCCGGGCCUUGUACACACCGCCCGUCAAGCCAUGGGAGCCGGGGGUACCUGAAGUGCGUAACCGCGAGGAGCGCCCUAGGGUAAAACUGGUGACUGGGGCU